CCGAAGCAACAGGGCGAGCUGGCGCCCCCUCCUCCCUUCCCCGCACGCGCGCGCCCCCGCCCCACGCGCGAGCCGGCAUGAACCUGGUGCAGAUUGCAGUCUGCAUUCUUAGCCCACCGCCGCCGCCUAUAACUAGGCUUUCCCCCGUUCCCCGCCCGCAUACGCGGUUGCAGCAGCCCCACGCCCACCGACAGGGAGUAGCAGCGAAAGGAAGAAGAAACGGGAGGCGGGCGCGCGGGGACCCGUCGCCGGGCUCCGCGAAACCGCCGGAUUUCGCCGCGGAGCCGCUGGAUUGGGAGGGAUUCGAGCGAUCAAGCCCUCGCCUUCGCUGAGCAACCUGAAUGCGUCCCAUCUGUUCUGCUCUCUCUCCUCACGCGGAUUGACGAACCAAGGGCUCGGAAGCUUCCAGUGAUCAAGGCCUCACCGUG